UGAGGAACAUGACCUUCGGCGGGGGAUAGCCGGCCCAACGGCCGGAUAAUACCGCGUACGACCACAUGGGGACAUCCCUGAGUGGUGAAAGCAGCAAUGCGCCGAUGGAGUGCCUCGCGGCCUAUCAGCUAGUUGGUGAGGUAACGGCUCACCAAGGCGACGACGGGUAGCUGGUCUGAGGGGAUGGCCAGCCACAUUGGGACUGAGACACGGCCCAGACCUNUACGGGAGG
rnacentral:rRNA from 1 species